GAUGGAUUAUGAGAAGUAGUUUAAAAGCAAUGGUUUAUUUAGUAUAUAGCUAAAAAGGGAGGCGGCUCAAUGGAAAAAUCCCUAAAAUAUAAACCUUCAAAAUAAAACCCAAACUAACCCUCAGAAGUCCAAAAACGUCCCUGCCAUCACAACCUCUUCGAAGUCGAAAAGCAUCCCUGCCUCCGGUAGCCUCAUCCUAUCAUUUCCAGAUAAGAUCAAUGGGUUCAGUCAACAACAAUGCACCUAGUUGGGCUGAUCAGUGGGGCACAAACGGCAGCGACCCUGAAGAGAAUAGCAAGUCCAAGUCAAAAGACAGCAGCAGCAAGAUGUCGGACGUGAAAGCUGCCGCUUCUGUGACCAUGGACAAGGCCAAGUCAGUAGCAUCAGCUGGAGCACAAAAAGUCAAGAGUGGAACAUCACUUGGCAUAAAAUGGGUUAAGGCCCAGUAUAGCAAGAGAAGCUCCAAAUGAAUAAUGCAAUAAAAAUUUUAAUUUCUGUUUUAUUUUAUUAUAUAUUAAGAGGAACCAUUUCCUUUUUGCUUUUGGAUAUUACAGUGUGAAAUAUUAUUUUCAUUUUAUUUUAUUUUUAUGAGUAAGUUUGGAUUGGAGGCAUUUGGAUUUCCUAGAUAUUUCAAUUGCUACUUGAUUAUUGUAAUUGUUGGUAAUUAUUAAUUCUUUGUUUGAGAA